rnacentral:rRNA from 1 species
GAUGAACGCUAGCGGCAGGCUUAAUACAUGCAAGUCGUGGGGCAGCGCAGUGUAGCAAUACAUGGGCGGCGACCGGCAAACGGGUGCGUAACACGUACGCAACCUUCCCGUUACUGGGGAAUAGCCCAGGGAAACUUGGAUUAAUACCCCAUAUUAUAUUGAUUGGGCAUCUAAUUAAUAUCAAAGCUUCGGCGGUAACGGAUUGGCGUGCGGUUGAUUAGGUAGCUGGCGGGGUAACGGCCCACCAAGCCUACGAUCAAUAGCUGAUGUGAGAGCAUGAUCAGCCACACGGGCACUGAGACACGGGCCCGACUCCUACGGGAGGCAGCAGUAAGGAAUAUUGGGCAAUGGACGAAAGUCUGACCCAGCCAUGCCGCGUGGAGGAUGAAGGUCCUCUGGAUUGUAAACUUCUUUUUUCUGGGGCGAAAACCGGUUUUUCUAAACCAUUUGACAGUACCAGAAGAAUAAGCACCGGCUAACUCCGUGCCAGCCGCCGCGGUAACAC